AUGCAGCGACGCCGCGUGCGGGGAUGAAGGGGCUUAGCCUCGUAAACCGCUGUCGGAGGGGACGAAUGGUACAUUUGAUGUACUGAGAGGUACCCCUCAAAGGAAGGAUCGGCUAACUACGUGCCAGCAGCCGCGGUAAUACGUAGGAUCCGAGCGUUGUCCGGAAUUACUGGGUGUAAAGGGUGCGUAGGCGGACUUGUGCGUCAGAGGUGAAAUCCACGGGCUUAACCCGUGGGGUGCCUUUGAUACGGCAAGUCUUGAGUGCGAGUGAGGUGGGUGGAAUUCCUGGUGUAGCAGUGAAAUGCGUAGAUAUCAGGAGGAACACCCGAUGGCGAAGGCAGCCCACCGGCUCGCAACUGACGCUGAGGCACGAAAGCGUGGGGAUCAAACAGGAUUAGAUACCCUGGUAGUCCACGCCUUAAACGAUGUAUGCUUGGUGUUGGGUCGCAAGACUCAGUGCCGGAGGAAACCUAUUAAGCAUACCACCUGGGGAGUACGAUCGCAAGGUUGAAACUCAAAGGAAUUGACGGGG
rnacentral:rRNA from 1 species